UCGAGAAUCUUCGGCAAUGGACGAAAGUCUGACCGAGCGACGCCGCGUGCGGGAUGAAGGCCUUCGGGUUGUAAACCGCUGUCGUAGGGGAACAAAUGUACGGGGGUUCUCCCCUGUAUUUGAGUGAUCCUAGGAGGAAGGAGAGGCUAAGCUCGUGCCAGCAGCCGCGGUAAGACGAGCUCUCCAAACGUUAUUCGGUAUCACUGGGCUUAAAGAGUUCGUAGGCGGUCUGGUAGGUGAGGUGUGAAAUCCCCCGGCUCAACCGGGGAACUGCGCUUCAAACCGCCGGACUUGAGGGAGACAGAGGUGGGCGGAACAGAUGGUGGAGCGGUGAAAUGCGUUGAUAUCAUCUGGAACACCGGUGGCGAAAGCGGCCCACUGGGUCUUUUCUGACGCUGAGGAACGAAAGCUAGGGUAGCGAACG
rnacentral:rRNA from 1 species